GACCCCGUAGCUCAACUGGAUAGAGUGGGAGUGUUCUAAACUCUAGGUUGGAGGUUCGAGUCCUCCCGGGGUCA
rnacentral:tRNA from 1 species